rnacentral:snoRNA from 1 species
AGCGAUGAUGAAAGAACUUAACUGACUUGGUAUUGUUGCCCUUUGGCAUCAUUGACCAAGAUCUGAUUGACUAAGUUUAAUCUUCUCUCUGAGCUG